CAGCUUCUGGGAUUGGCACGCUCACACCAGAAGUCAGUUUGCAUUUAAAAAAAAGCGUCAGGCAUUUGUGGCAGCAGAGAAGAACGUGCACUUUAACCAGGCAAAACCAAAGCUACUGAAGUUCACCAUUUUAAAAUUUGUGUUCACUUCCGGUAAAUUAUUUCAAAUUCUAUGAUAUGACAGCAAAAGCUGAAUAAUUCACAUACUGUUUGGAGCAGGAGCUGUACUUUUAUCCAGGAUUGCACAUUCUUCACUCGGAAAGAAAUCCUUCGUUUUUCCCAAAUAGAUUUACAGGAGGAGCCUUGGACACCAGUUGUAGGUGGAAGCCUCAUGUGUUUUGGUUGCAUGGCCGGUACCAUGAAAUGGCACCAAAUGUUGUGCCCAUGGACUAUACAAAGGACCCAGAUGUUAAACUACCUAUGCAGCUUAUAAUAAACAUGCCUGAGCUAAAGGUAUUGUUUCUGACUGCUUACAAACUUUAUCUUGCUAAGCUCUGUAGCUUGCCUCUUGGAGGUUUUGCCAAGUGAGUUUGGUACCAUGAAGCAAAAUGGCAUGCUAAGGUCUUCCCUUUUCCAUUACUGUUCAAGGGCAAAACCAGCCACAGAAACAGGAAGAUAUUUAGGUAGAUGUCUCCCUUGCAGAGAUGGAUGGGAUCAGAAGUUAAUGGAAACAUGCAGAAAAUUAAAUUGAAUUUAACACACUUUCCACUCUGUACAUAUAAAUCCUUUUGAAGACAGUAGGAUCUGUGUUUGAAUAGCUGGUACUAAAAGAAUAAGAAGUUCUGUGAACUUUUACUUGAAAUCUAUUUCAAAUUUCUUUCACUUUACAUUAACCUAAAAAAAAAUUCCCCACAACUGAAUUUCUGAAGUACUGCUUAUAUUUGUACUUUUUCCAAACACUGGGGCAAUGUCAUAUAUUGAACAAGAAGCACAUUUCACUUCCUUCAGAAGUAUUUGACAAUCAUUUUACAUAAACGGAAACAUAAGAGAUUUUCGCACCAUAAGGAUUUAAUUAAACAAAAGAUCUUUGGAAAAACUUUCAACAUUGUCAUUCCUGUGGCUUACCA
ensembl:lncRNA